ACCGACACCCCCGGUGACAGCCGUGGUCCCUCAGAUGCGGGGUCGCCCCGGGUCUCGGUGU
ensembl:miRNA gga-mir-12267 gga-mir-12267